rnacentral:piRNA from 1 species
UGAGUCUUGCUUUAAAUCACCCUGAGGGC